AGUGGAGGAUGCUAUAAGCGUGAAUAAUGAGUUCAGGUGGAGGUACCAAAUCGUGGCAAACUCAGUAGUAAAUAACAACGAUGGUUUCCAGGCAAAUAGAGUGAAGGUGAACGAACGGAACCUUUUACGAUUAUUGACCAAUUCUCGGUCGUCAAGGACUAAUUGAACGGGUUAGAAGUAUGGAGCAUCGCUGGGGGAUGUGUGUAGAGUUACAAGGAGACUAUGUAGAAAAUAAAUAAAAACUUUUAGGAAUAAAAUUGUGAUAUCAUUGUUAGGUCGAAAACUUUACAGACUACCCACAUAUUUUAUGAGAAAUUCCACAUCAAAUAAUAUCUAAUAGGUAUUGACAACUUUUUCAUUUUUAACUACAAUUUCUAAUUUUAUGUCAAUUACAAAGAUUAAAAUAAUAUAUCUUAUAAUAAGUUGUUUGCAGAUAUAUUAAAAGUAAAAAAAUGUUUUUUUAAUAUAUGAAAAACUACAUGCAUUGUUCAAUAAUUUAUGAAGCGAGGCAAAUUGUUUUACAUGCUUAUUAUUUGCAUUAUAAACAAUAUAUAAAUAAGAACAUAACUUAUUUUUCAUCUUUUGUUGAAACAAGUGAACGAAGUACGUGUUUAGUGCCUAGCUAUAAAAGUGGUAAUAAGGCUUUACUCAUAAGGUUUUUUCCAUUAAAAAUGACAAAGUUACUACUAUAUGUAGCUCUUGUAUUUGGGUACUAUGUGGCUUCUUCAACAGGGGACAAAGCAGCAUGCGGCUCAUCUGAUGGUAAGUGAUUACCCCCGCCCAUGACCACCCGCAACACUAGGGAAAUUGCAAGUUGUAGACAUUGUC